GCGAGAGUGGCGGAAUUGGUAGACGCACUGGAUUUAGGUUCCAGCGCCGCAAGGCGUGAGAGUUCGAGUCUCUCCUUUCGCA
rfam:Chromobacterium sp. 37-2 Cmus_37-2.4, whole genome shotgun sequence.